AGCCAGCUGCCCUCUCCUCCUCAGCCCAGUGUGACCCUGCUGCAGCCCAGUGAGGGACACAUCCCGAGGGGCCAUGAUGUUCAGCUUCCUGUAGUGACCAGGACACAGGAUGCGUCAGGCCCUGCCGCCUCACAAGAGCCCCGGCCGCGCACAGCUCCCCGACUGUUCCCAUGGGCACGAGGGCUCAUCCAGCCUCUCCAGCCACGCCGGACAUCAACAGCCCCCAGCCAGCUGGAAAGGACCCAUCGCCCAGUGCUCGACCUGGGACAUCUCGUGAGAAGCACGAAACGCGUGUGACGACAGUCAUCAGAACGAUGACUUUUUAGUUUUAUUAGGUUAGUUAAUGAGUAGUUAAUAAGUUAGUUAAGUAGUGUUAUUUAGUUAAUAAAAACCCUUAAAAUUCCA